rnacentral:tRNA from 1 species
GGGCCUGUAGCUCAGGGGUAGAGCACUGGACUUUUAAUCCAGGUGUCUUGGGUUCGAUUCCCAACAGGCUCGC